rnacentral:rRNA from 1 species
UACGGAGGGUGCAAGCGUUAUCCGGAUUUACUGGGUUUAAAGGGUGCGUAGGUGGGUAGGAAAGUCAGUGGUGAAAUCUUCGGGCUUAACCCGGAAACUGCCAUUGAUACUAUUUAUCUUGAAUACUUUGGAGGUAAGCGGAAUAUGUCAUGUAGCGGUGAAAUGCUUAGAUAUGACAUAGAACACCAAUUGCGAAGGCAGCUUACUACACAGUUAUUGACACUGAGGCACGAAAGCGUGGGGAGCAAACGGG